UUUUGUCCACCGGGAUGUCAUUUUUGCCUAAGUCUCCCUUUUGGGUUUUCAACUUAGUGGGAUAUUUUUUUAAUCCCUAACUUUUGCAUUGACAUUUCUUUUUUUUUGUUCAUCGGGAUAUCCAUUUUUUCCUAGAUUGGUUCUGACGAGUUCCAAUCUAGCGGGCUUUAUACUCUUUUUUUAGGCAUAACAAUUUUUUACUAUAUUUGAGUUCACAGACAUUG
rnacentral:lncRNA from 1 species